rnacentral:rRNA from 1 species
GUGGGGAAUAUUGGACAAUGGGCGAAAGCCUGAUCCAGCCAUGCCGCGUGUGUGAAGAAGGUCUUCGGAUUGUAAAGCACUUUAAGUUGGGAGGAAGGGCAGUAAGUUAAUACCUUGCUGUUUUGACGUUACCGACAGAAUAAGCACCGGCUAACUUCGUGCCAGCAGCCGCGGUAAUACGAAGGGUGCAAGCGUUAAUCGGAAUUACUGGGCGUAAAGCGCGCGUAGGUGGUUUUGUAAGUGGGAGGUGAAAUCCCCGGGCUCAACCUGGGAACUGCCUCAAAAACUGCAUGACUAGAGUACGGUAGAGGGUAGUGGAAUUUCCUGUGUAGCGGUGAAAUGCGUAGAUAUAGGAAGGAACACCAGUGGCGAAGGCGACUACCUGGACUGAUACUGACACUGAGGUGCGAAAGCGUGGGGAGCAAACAGGAUUAGAAACCCUAGUAGUCC